UGCCAGCAGCCGCGGUAAUACGUAGGGGGCAAGCGUUAUCCGGAAUCACUGGGCGUAAAGGGUGCGUAGGCGGUCUAUCAAGCCAGAAGUGAAAGACAUUGGCUCAACCAAUGUAAGCUUUUGGAACUGAUGGACUUGAGUGCAGGAGAGGAAAGUGGAAUUCCUAGUGUAGAGGUGAAAUUCGUAGAUAUUAGGAGGAACACCAGUGGCGAAGGCGACUUUCUGGACUGUAACUGACGCUGAGGCACGAAAGUGUGGGGAGCGAACAGGAUUAGAUA
rnacentral:rRNA from 1 species